rnacentral:tRNA from 1 species
GAGCCAUUAGCUCAGCUGGCAGAGCACCUCACUUUUAAUGAGGGGGUCCGGAGUUCGAAUCUCCGAUGGCUCACCA